rnacentral:rRNA from 1 species
AAGCGGUGGAGCAUGUGGUUUAAUUCGACGCAACGCGAAGAACCUUACCUGGGCUUGACAUCCCGAUCGCACCUUAUGGAAACAUAGGGGUCAGUUCGGCUGGAUCGGUGACAGGUGCUGCAUGGCUGUCGUCAGCUCGUGUCGUGAGAUGUUGGGUUAAGUCCCGCAACGAGCGCAACCCUUUGUCCUUAGUUGCCAGCAUUCAGUUGGGCACUCUAAGGAGACUGCCGGUGUCAAACCGGAGGAAGUGGGGAUGACGUCAAGUCCUCAUGGCCCUUAUGUCCAGGGCUACACACGUGCUACAAUGGCCGGUACAAAGGGGCGCAAGACCGCGAGGUGGAGCAAAUCCCAAAAAACCGGUCUCAGUUCGGAUUGGAGUCUGCAACUCGACUCCAUGGAGUUGGAAUCGCUAGUAAUCGCGUAUCAGCAUGACGCGGUGAAUACGUUCCCGGGCCUU